rnacentral:rRNA from 1 species
AGCGAACGCUGGCGGCAGGCCUAACACAUGCAAGUCGAACGAACCCUUCGGGGUUAGUGGCGGACGGGUGAGUAACACGUGGGAACGCGCCUUUAGGUUCGGAAUAACUCAGGGAAACUUGUGCUAAUACCGAAUGUGCCCUUCGGGGGAAAGAUUUAUCGCCUUUAGAGCGGCCCGCGUCUGAUUAGCUAGUUGGUGAGGUAAUGGCUCACCAAGGCUAUGAUCAGUAGCUGGUCUGAGAGGAUGACCAGCCACAUUGGGACUGAGACACGGCCCAAACUCCUGCGGGAGGCAGCAGUGGGGAAUCUUGCGCAAUGGGCGAAAGCCUGACGCAGCCAUGCCGCGUGGAUGAUGAAGGUCUUAGGAUUGUAAAAUCCUUUCACCGGUGAAGAUAAUGACUGUAGCCGGAGAAGAAGCCCCGGCUAACUUCGUGCCAGCAGCCGCCGUAAAAC